UACGGAGGGAGCUAGCGUUGUUCGGAAUUACUGGGCGUAAAGCGCGCGUAGGCGGCUUUGUAAGUUAGAGGUGAAAGCCCGGAGCUCAACUCCGGAACUGCCUUUAAAACUGCAUCGCUUGAAUCCAGGAGAGGUGAGUGGAAUUCCGAGUGUAGAGGUGAAAUUCGUAGAUAUUCGGAAGAACACCAGUGGCGAAGGCGGCUCACUGGACUGGUAUUGACGCUGAGACGCGAAAGCGUGGGUAGCAAACAGG
rnacentral:rRNA from 1 species